UCGAGAAUUUUUCACAAUGGGGGAAACCCUGAUGGAGCGACGCCGCGUGCGGGAUGAAGGCCUUCGGGUUGUAAACCGCUUUCAGCAGGGAAGAAGCGAAAGUGACGGUACCUGCAAAAGAAGCACCGGCUAACUAUGUGCCAGCAGCCGCGGUAAUACAUAGGGUGCAAGCGUUGUCCGGAAUUAUUGGGCGUAAAGAGCUCGUAGGUGGUUCGUCACGUCGGAUGUGAAAAUCUGGGGCUCAACCCCAGACCUGCAUUCGAUACGAGCGAGCUAGAGUUUGGUAGGGGAGACUGGAAUUCCUGGUGUAGCGGUGGAAUGCGCAGAUAUCAGGAGGAACACCAAUGGCGAAGGCAGGUCUCUGGGCCAAUACUGACACUGAGGAGCGAGAGCGUGGGGAGCGAACAGG
rnacentral:rRNA from 1 species